GUAUCUCGCCAGUUAUAGCCCUGAAUGUCCGGGUUUAAGCGAAUCGCCUGGAGUAGUGGUUCCAAUGACAUUGCGAACAGAAGUGGCGAGAGUGGGCAACCCUGACGGGUGCCAUUGCUUAUCGCGAAGUCGGCAGUCGUGGACCCGUUAACUCUCACAUUCGCGUGUGGUUUACUAUAUAAAGCUGAUAUCCACGUGAGGAACCUCUGUCCACAUCCCAU